CGCAGCAAAUAAUUAGCAGCAAAUACAUUUUUUUCCACUAGUGUAAGUUAAGUAAGUUUAAUAAUAUUUAUAUAUUGCGUAUACAUUGCGUAUAUAUAUAUAUAUAUAUAAUUAAAAUACCCAAAACCCCUUUCGUACCCGGUAACCCCAUUACCCCCAACAUUUCUUUUCCCUCGUCUCACUUAUUCUAAUUACCCACUAAACCCUUCCCUUCUUCCUCAUACGUACAACCCAAAAUUACACUCAUCUUCCUCAUUCAAUCCAUUGAUUUUCGAGUAAACCAAGUUCCAUGGAUGCCCUACUCUCCUUGUUGAUUGUUGGUGUAAACAAACUAAGGGGACGACGUCAUCGAGGAACCUUUCUAGCAAUCGCGGAGAAACAGACUUAGCUCCUUGAAGCAUCUUUGUUUGAUUACAGAUUGGAACCGGCCGGGAACGAUGGGUUAGCGAUGUUGAUUAGAGUGCCAAGGAUGUCAUUUUGAGCUGAGCACGUGGGAAUUUAUAGUUUUGUAUACGGAUUUUGAUAGAUGUAUAUUAGUCUUGGUUGUAUUGGUUAUAUUGGACUCGAAGUGAAUUGUAUGAUUACCUUAUGUCUUAGUUAGAUGUUUGGUUUGAAAAUUAGCUGAGUUAAUUACGUCAAAGAGCUGGUGACCUCUUUGCUCAAGUUUUGGAAGUAUGAUUUAAGUUUCUUGGGAAAUGAACCCCGUGAUGAUCCUGUUUACUCAGUUAAUGGUAAGUCGGGUUGUUACAGUAAUUAGGUAAAUUAGGUUAGAUUAAUAAAUUUAAUUGAAAGUCAAAGGUGAUUUACAUUGGUCAAUGGUCAUUUAGCAGGUCAUCCGAUGAAGUGGUUGUAUCAGUGUCGUGUUUGGUAAUUAGAUGACUGUUGGUUGUAAAAAA